rnacentral:rRNA from 1 species
AUGGAUCUAAACCCGCACAUUUUAUGUUGGAAUGUUAGGGGCCUAAACAGCCCGGCUAGAAAGAAGGCUGUUAGGGAGUUUGUGACCUUGGUGAAAGCAAACCUUGUAUGCCUACAAGAGACUAAACUUGAUGUAAUUGAUCCCUUCAUAGCUAUGCAAUGCAUUGGCCCGUCGCUUGACGGCUUCGCUUACCUUCUGGCGCAUGAUACU